CCGUUGGAUGAUGAAGAAAUCGUCGCCUACAUCUUCAACGGCCUCGACCAGGAGUACAAUCCUGUUGUGACAUCCAUGGUGACGAAGAGAGAACCGAUCACGGUCUCUGAAGCCCACUCGCAGCUGCUCAGCUUCGAGA